ensembl:snRNA U6 U6 spliceosomal RNA
GUGCUCCCUUCAGCGGCACAUACACUGAAAUUGGAAUAGUACAGAGAAGACUGGCAUGGGCCCUGCGCAAGGACGACAUGCAAAUUCAGGAAGCAUUUAAUUUUUCU